GUGGACGAACCUAAGCAUUCAUUUAUUUUAUAUAUGUAAUUGUAAGUAGGCAAGAAAACUAAUAAAAUGUAAGAAAAUGGAGUUAUCAUUUUUGCAACUGAAACUACAGAUAUUUUGCUUUGCACACAUAUGCAUUGUACGCAUUGUUGUACUGUAAUGUUUGUGAGAGAUUUAUAAAUAAUGAUAUCAAGUUUUAUCCAUAGCCAGGGAACGGAUUUUAUGAAUACUGUAUGUAUGUAUGUAUGUAUG